rnacentral:lncRNA from 1 species
CUAGCUAGGCGGCUGGGAGCGUUUUCGUGGCGGGGAACGGAGGUUGAAUUGCCCUGCCUGGGCUCAUAGGGAAGGAGGAUGUGAAGGAGCUUGUGAAGGCAGAGGAAGAUUAUUGAAUAAUAAAAUACAGUUUUGAAAAAAAUGGAUGAAGAACCUGAAAGAACUAAGCGAUGGGAAGGAGGCUAUGAAAGAACAUGGGAGAUUCUUAAAGAAGAUGAAUCUGGAUCACUUAAAGCUACAAUAGAAGACAUUCUAUUCAAGGCAAAGAGAAAAAGAUGCGCCACCUUUAUGUGGUAGUAGAUGGAUCAAGAACAAUGGAAGACCAAGAUUUAAAGCCUAAUAGACUGACGUGUACUUUAAAGUUGUUGGAAUACUUUGUAGAGGAAUAUUUUGAUCAAAAUCCUAUUAGUCAGAUUGGAAUAAUUGUAACUAAGAGUAAAAGAGCUGAAAAAUUGACUGAACUUUCAGGAAACCCAAGAAAACAUAUAACGUCUUUGAAGAAAGCUGUGGAUAUGACCUGCCAUGGAGAGCCAUCUCUUUAUAAUUCCCUAAGCAUGGCUAUGCAGACUCUAAAACACAUGCCUGGACAUACAAGUCGAGAAGUACUAAUCAUCUUUAGCAGCCUUACAACUUGCGAUCCAUCUAAUAUUUAUGAUCUAAUCAAGACCCUAAAGGCAGCUAAAAUUAGAGUAUCUGUUACUGGAUUGUCUGCAGAAGUUCGCGUUUGCACUGUACUUGCUCGUGAAACUGGUGGCACGUACCAUGUUAUUUUAGAUGAAAGCCAUUACAAAGAGUUGCUCACACAUCAUGUUAGUCCUCCUCCUGCUAGCUCAAGUUCUGAAUGCUCACUUAUUCGUAUGGGAUUUCCUCAGCACACCAUUGCUUCUUUAUCUGACCAGGAUGCAAAACCCUCUUUCAGCAUGGCGCAUUUGGAUGGCAAUACUGAGCCAGGGCUUACAUUAGGAGGCUAUUUCUGCCCACAGUGUCGGGCAAAGUACUGUGAGCUACCUGUUGAAUGUAAAAUCUGUGGUCUUACUUUGGUGUCUGCUCCCCACUUGGCACGGUCUUACCAUCAUUUGUUUCCUUUGGAUGCUUUUCAAGAAAUUCCCCUAGAAGAAUAUAAUGGAGAAAGAUUUUGUUAUGGAUGUCAGGGGGAAUUGAAAGACCAACAUGUUUAUGUUUGUGCUGUGUGCCAAAAUGUUUUCUGUGUGGACUGUGAUGUUUUUGUUCAUGAUUCUCUACACUGUUGCCCUGGCUGUAUUCAUAAGAUUCCAGCUCCUUCAGGUGUUUGAUUCCAGCAUGUAGUAUACAUUGUAUGUGUUAAAAAGAAAUUUGCAACUGUGAAUAAAAGGACUUCUUUAGAAGAAGCUUCAUUUAAAACAUGAAAGGAUAAUCUGACUUAAGAAACUUUUUGCUAAGAAAAGGUAAUAUUUUAUUAAAUUUUAAAUUUGUGUUGUCACAGAAAUACCUGAAAUUCAGUAGUACUUCAUUCAAUUAAUUUUGUUUUCUAUUAUUUUGAGUUAUACUGUUUUCAAAGUCAUUAUGCAGUAUGUAUAAACUUAUAAGAAUUAAAUUGAUGUGAUAAUUUUAUGUUUUUAUAAUUAAAUAUAGAAUCUUUAUGAUUUAUGUUAAUUCAUUAAUUUAGUGUAAGAAGAAAGUUAAGUCUGAAUGUAAAUUCAGUGUAAGAUGAAAAUUUAUCAAUACUUAUGAAAUUAGGCUGGGCGCUGUGGCUCACACCUGUAAUCCCAACACUUUGGGAGGCUGAGGUGGGCAGAUCACUUGAGGUCAGGAGUUCGAGACCAGCCUGGCCAACAUGGUGAAACCCCGUCACUACUAAAAAUACAAAAAAUAAUUAGCCGGGCAUGGUGGUUCACGCCUGGAGUCCCAGCUACUUGGGAGGCUGAGGCAGGAGAAUCGCUUGAACCCAGGAGGCGGAGGUUGCAGGGAGCCGAGA